AGUGAACGCUGGCGGCGUGCUUAACACAUGCAAGUCGAACGAGAACGGAUUAUAGCUUGCUAUAAUUGUCAGCUAAGUGGCGCACGGGUGAGUAAUGUAUAGGUAAUAUGCCUCUUACUAAGGGAUAACAAAUGGAAACGUUUGCUAAUACCUUAUACUCCUUAUUAACAUAAGUUAAUAAGGAAAGAUUUAUUGGUAAGAGAUUAGCCUGUAUUGUAUCAGUUAGUUGGUGGGGUAAUGGCUUACCAAGACUAUGACACAUAACUGGUUUGAGAGGAUGAUCAGUCACACUGGAACUGAGACACGGUCCAGACUCCUACGGGAGGCAGCAGUGGGGAAUAUUGCACAAUGGACGAAAGUCUGAUGCAGCAACGCCGCGUGGAGGAUGACACAUUUCGGUGCGUAAACUCCUUUUAUAUGAGAAGAUAAUGACGGUAUUAUAUGAAUAAGCACCGGCUAACUCCGUGCCAGCCGCCGCUGUAAAAC
rnacentral:rRNA from 1 species